rnacentral:rRNA from 1 species
GUAAGGAAUAUUGGACAAUGGCCGGAAGGCUGAUCCAGCCAUGCCGCGUGAAGGACGAAGGCGCUCAGCGUUGUAAACUUCUUUUGGACGGGGAUAAUAAUCCCGACUUGUCGGGACUUGAAGGUACCGUCAGAAUAAGCACCGGCUAACUCCGUGCCAGCAGCCGCGGUAAUACGGAGGGUGCGAGCGUUAUCCGGAAUCACUGGGUUUAAAGGGUGCGUAGGCGGCGGGAUAAGUCAGUUGUGAAAUCGCUGGGCUCAACCCAUGCAAUUGCGAUUGAUACUGUUCUGCUUGAAACAGGUUGAGGCAGGCGGAAUGUGGCAUGUAGCGGUGAAAUGCAUAGAUAUGCCAUAGAACACCGAUUGCGAAGGCAGCUUGCUGGGCCUGAUUUGACGCUGAGGCACGAAAGCGUGGGGAGCAAACAGGAUUAGAAACCCUUGUAGUCC